CUACGGGCCGCAGCAGUAAGGAAUAUUGCGCAAUGGAGGCAACUCUGACGCAGCCAUGCCGCGUGCAGGAAGAAGGCCUUAUGGGUCGUAAACUGCUUUUAUUUAGGAAUAAACCCCCGAACGUGUUCGGGGCUGAAGGUACUAAACGAAUAAGCACCGGCUAACUCCGUGCCAGCAGCCGCGGUAAUACGGAGGGUGCAAGCGUUAUCCGGAUUUAUUGGGUUUAAAGGGUGCGCAGGCGGGCUAUUAAGUCAGUGGUGAAAUCCCGGGGCUCAACUCCGGAACUGCCAUUGAUACUGAUAGUCUUGAGUUUGGUUGAAGUGGGCGGAAUGUAGCAUGUAGCGGUGAAAUGCAUAGAUAUGCUACAGAACACCAAUCGCGAAGGCAGCUCACUAAGCCAAAACUGACGCUCAUGCACGAAAGCGUGGGGAUCAAACAGGAUUAGAUACCCUUGUAGUC
rnacentral:rRNA from 1 species